AUUUAAAUAGUUUAAUGUUAAAAUAUUGAUUUGUGGAAUCAAGGAUAUAGAUGUCUAUUUUAAAUA
rnacentral:tRNA from 1 species